GAGAAAGCUUGGAACAUCAACUACAGGCUCUCUCCGGGAAUGUACGAGAUUUUCCUGAAUGCAGAAGGUACAUAUUAUUUGGAGCUAAUUUGUCGCAAGUCUCCUAUAGGAACAUGCAUGAUGUUGAACAUUGCUGCUGAAGGUGAACGCGCAAUAAGAACCACAUGCUGGUUGGAAAUGGAUUAGUAUAUACCCAAACAAAUAGGUGAACAGGACGACUACCCGAGAAUGAUGAAUGACGCUGUACAUGGAUGGUCAACCCAACAUUUACCUGCUUUGACGUUGUUAUCAUCUGAACUAUGAGUGAAGACAUGUAUGGAAAAUAUAUAAUCAUAAUUGAACAAAUGUUUUAAACAGUGAGGAGAUCUAGGAACAUGUAGAAGUAAAAAUCAUAUUUGUAAUUUUAUUAGAAAGAAGGAGAGAUGUAGUAUUGUGUAACAGAUUGAGUCGUAGUAGGCUGCGUCUAAGGGACUGUCAGAUAUGAUGCGUAAAUAAAGUCAUUGUUCAUUAAUACCCCGAACUGUAAAGUAUACUU